GAACGCCUGUAGCAAUACAGGAGUGGCGCACGGGUGAGUAACGCGUGGGAACCUGCCCUGGAGUGGGGGAUAACCGAGGGAAACCUCGGCUAAUACCGCAUACGUCCUGAGGGAGAAAGAUUUAUCGCUCUAGGAGGGGCCCGCGUCGGAUUAGCUAGUUGGUGGGGUAACGGCUUACCAAGGCAACGAUCCGUAGCUGGUCUGAGAGGAUGAUCAGCCACACUGGGACUGAGACACGGCCCAGACUCCUACGGGAGGCAGCAGUGGGGAAUAUUGGACAAUGGGGGCAACCCUGAUCCAGCAAUGCCGCGUGAGUGAUGAAGGCCUUAGGGUUGUAAAGCUCUUUCGGCGGGGACGAUGAUGACGGUACCCGCAGAAGAAGCCCCGGCUAACUUCGUGCCAGCAGCCGCGGUAAUACGAAGGGGGCGAGCGUUGUUCGGAAUUACUGGGCGUAAAGGGCGCGCAGGCGGCUCUGAAAGUCAGAUGUGAAAGCCCCGGGCUUAACCUGGGAAUUGCAUUUGAUACUCUAGAGCUUGAGUACGGGAGAGGAGAGUGGAAUUCCCAGUGUAGAGGUGAAAUUCGUAGAUAUUGGGAAGAACACCGGUGGCGAAGGCGGCUCUCUGGACCGUAACUGACGCUGAGGCGCGAAAGCGUGGGGAGCAAACAGGAUUAGAUACCCUGGUAGUCCACGCCGUAAACGAUGGAUGCUAGCCGUUGUCGGGUUUACUCGUCAGUGGCGCAGCUAACGCAUUAAGCAUCCCGCCUGGGGAGUACGGUCGCAAGAUUAAAACUCAAAGGAAUUGACGGGGGCCUGCACAAGCGGUGGAGCAUGUGGUUCAAUUCGAAGCAACGCGAAGAACCUUACCAGCUUUUGACAUGUCCCGUAUGAGUACCAGAGAUGGAACUCUUCAGUUCGGCUGGCGGGAACACAGGUGCUGCAUGGCUGUCGUCAGCUCGUGUCGUGAGAUGUUGGGUUAAGUCCCGCAACGAGCGCAACCCUCGCCCUUAGUUGCCAUCAUUCAGUUGGGCACUCUAAGGGGACUGCCGGUGAUAAGCCGCGAGGAAGGUGGGGAUGACGUCAAGUCCUCAUGGCCCUUACGGGCUGGGCUACACACGUGCUACAAUGGCGGUGACAAUGGGAUGCUGAGGGGCGACCCCGAGCAAAUCUCAAAAAGCCGUCUCAGUUCGGAUUGCACUCUGCAACUCGAGUGCAUGAAGGUGGAAUCGCUAGUAAUCGUAGAUCAGAACGCUACGGUGAAUACGUUCCCGG
rnacentral:rRNA from 1 species